rnacentral:rRNA from 1 species
UACGAAGGGGGCUAGCGUUGUUCGGAAUUACUGGGCGUAAAGCGCGCGUAGGCGGACAUUUAAGUCAGGGGUGAAAUGCCGGGGCUCAACCUCGGGACUGCCUUUGAUACUGGGUGUCUGGAGUUCGGGAGAGGUGAGUGGAAUUCCGAGUGUAGAGGUGAAAUUCGUAGAUAUUCGGAGGAACACCAGAAGCGAAGGCGGCUCACUGGCCCGAUACUGACGCUGAGGCGCGAAAGCGUGGGGAGCAAACAGG